UAAGGGCGCACGGUGGAUGCCUUGGCACUAGAAGCCGAUGAAGGACGUUACUAACGACGAUAUGCUUUGGGGAGCUGUAAGUAAGCUUUGAUCCAGAGAUUUCCGAAUGGGGAAACCCAGCAUGAGUUAUGUCAUGUUAUCGAUAUGUGAAUACAUAGCAUAUCAGAAGGCACACCCGGAGAACUGAAACAUCUUAGUACCCGGAGGAAGAGAAAGAAAAUUCGAUUCCCUUAGUAGCGGCGAGCGAAACGGGAAGAGCCCAAACCAACAAGCUUGCUUGUUGGGGUUGUAGGACACUCUAUACGGAGUUACAAAGGACGACAUUAGACGAAUCAUCUGGAAAGAUGAAUCAAAGAAGGUAAUAAUCCUGUAGUCGAAAAUGUUGUCUCUCUUGAGUGGAUCCUGAGUACGACGGAGCACGUGAAAUUCCGUCGGAAUCUGGGAGGACCAUCUCCUAAGGCUAAAUACUCUCUAGUGACCGAUAGUGAACCAGUACCGUGAGGGAAAGGUGAAAAGCACCCCGGAAGGGGAGUGAAAUAGAACCUGAAACCGUGUGCUUACAAGUAGUCAGAGCCCGUUAAUGGGUGAUGGCGUGCCUUUUGUAGAAUGAACCGGCGAGUUACGAUUUGAUGCAAGGUUAAGCAGUAAAUGUGGAGCCGUAGCGAAAGCAAGUCUGAAUAGGGCGUUUAGUAUUUGGUCGUAGACCCGAAACCAGGUGAUCUACCCUUGGUCAGGUUGAAGUUCAGGUAACACUGAAUGGAGGACCGAACCGACUUACGUUGAAAAGUGAGCGGAUGAACUGAGGGUAGCGGAGAAAUUCCAAUCGAACCUGGAGAUAGCUGGUUCUCUCCGAAAUAGCUUUAGGGCUAGCCUCAAGUGAUGAUUAUUGGAGGUAGAGCACUGUUUGGACGAGGGGCCCCUCUCGGGUUACCGAAUUCAGACAAACUCCGAAUGCCAAUUAAUUUAACUUGGGAGUCAGAACAUGGGUGAUAAGGUCCGUGUUCGAAAGGGAAACAGCCCAGACCACCAGCUAAGGUCCCAAAAUAUAUGUUAAGUGGAAAAGGAUGUGGCGUUGCCCAGACAACUAGGAUGUUGGCUUAGAAGCAGCCAUCAUUUAAAGAGUGCGUAAUAGCUCACUAGUCGAGUGACACUGCGCCGAAAAUGUACCGGGGCUAAACAUAUUACCGAAGCUGUGGAUUGUCCUUUGGACAAUGGUAGGAGAGCGUUCUAAGGGCGUUGAAGCAUGAUCGUAAGGACAUGUGGAGCGCUUAGAAGUGAGAAUGCCGGUGUGAGUAGCGAAAGACGGGUGAGAAUCCCGUCCACCGAUUGACUAAGGUUUCCAGAGGAAGGCUCGUCCGCUCUGGGUUAGUCGGGUCCUAAGCUGAGGCCGACAGGCGUAGGCGAUGGAUAACAGGUUGAUAUUCCUGUACCACCUAUAAUCGUUUUAAUCGAUGGGGGGACGCAGUAGGAUA
rnacentral:rRNA from 1 species